rnacentral:rRNA from 1 species
GCAACUUUCAGCGACGAAUGUCUCGGCUCAGGCGUCGAUGAAGGGCGCAGCGAAGUGUGCUACGCAUUGUGAAUUGCAGACCUCCGUGCGUCAAUAGACGCUUGAACGUACUUUGCACUUUUGGGAUAUUCCUGGAAGUACACCUGUGUCAG